UACGAAGGGGGCUAGCGUUGUUCGGAAUCACUGGGCGUAAAGGGUGCGUAGGCGGAUUGUUAAGUCAGGGGUGAAAUGCCGAGGCUCAACCUCGGAACUGCCUUUGAUACUGGCGAUCUUGAGUCCGGGAGAGGUGAGUGGAACUGCGAGUGUAGAGGUGAAAUUCGUAGAUAUUCGCAAGAACACCGGUGGCGAAGGCGGCUCACUGGCCCGGAACUGACGCUGAGGCACGAAAGCGUGGGGAGCAAACAGG
rnacentral:rRNA from 1 species